rnacentral:rRNA from 1 species
UGCCAGCCGCCGCGGUAAUACGUAGGUGGCGAGCGUUAUUCGGAUUUAUUGGGCGUAAAGGGUCCGCAGAGGGUUUAUUAAGUCUGACGUGAAAGCCCGCGGCUCAACCGCGGAAUUGCAUUGGAAACUGAUAGACUAGAGCAUAGGAGAGGUGAGCGGAAUUCCUGGUGUAGCGGUGGAAUGCGUAGAUAUCAGGAGGAACACCGAAGGCGAAGGCAGCUCACUGGACUAUUGCUGACCCUCAGGGACGAAGGCUAGGGGAGCGAACAGGAUUAGAUA